AGAUGGUGCCACUAAUGGGAAAGCAAGAACGAAAUGAAAUUUGCAUAAUCUAUUUAUUUUUGAAUAAUAAAGUAUGAAAAAAAAGAGCCAUCGAGAAAGAGAUAAACAGGGAAAAGGUGUGGCUUACAACUUCUUUAGAAAACAAUCUGUCUCGCCAUCAUCGUUUAUAGAAAACAAGUAAUUGGAGAUAUUAAAUAUAUCAAGUUUCAUGCAAGCCUGACGUCAGAAGAAGAGUGAUGAUGAAGAAUUAAUAUUCGAUAAAUUAAUUCAGAAUUGUAUUUCCCAGCGUCAUCUGCAAUCCGACACCAGUUCAUAAACUUCAAAAUUAAAAAGAAGUGAAAAAGUAAUAUUUUCUAAUAAAAAUAAAUUUAAUGUUUUAAAAAGUAUUAUUCUUUAAACAAAAUAUAUUAUAUAAUGAUGAACAACAACCAUACUUUAAACAAUGAUAAUUAAAAUGGGAAUUGUCACGUCAAUGUAAUAUAUUUGAAAUGAUCCUCAAAAAAGAUUAUUUAAACUAUUGGUCCCUAGGAGGGAGAUUGAUUUAACCCCUAUAUCAAUGGAUAUACAGUCGACCCCCCUAUAAUGUGGAUUCUAUAACGGAGAUUCCCAUAACAUAGCAAAAAAAUUGCGACAAUAUUCGUAUAAGGACGCUAAAAGGGACUCGUAAAACAUCAUCACCGACUCGUGUCGUGACAG